rnacentral:rRNA from 1 species
UACGGAGGGUGCGAGCGUUGUCCGGAAUCAUUGGGCGUAAAGGGCGUGUAGGUGGCCCGGUAAGCGUGCGGUGAAAGCUUGGGGCUCAACCCCGAGUCGGCCGUGCGAACUGCUGGGCUUGAGCACUGUAGAGGCAGGCGGAAUUCCGGGUGUAGCGGUGGAAUGCGUAGAGAUCCGGAAGAACACCGGUGGCGAAGGCGGCCUGCUGGGCAGUAGCUGACACUGAGGCGCGACAGCGUGGGGAGCAAACAGG